UGGCUGUAGGGGCGCGCGCGGCAGGGAGGGGCGGGGCCGACGCAGAACCGAGGUUAGUGUCGCGCGGCUGUCGCGAGCGCGUGAGGGAGUCUGUUCCU
rnacentral:pre_miRNA from 1 species